UACGUAGGGACCAAGCGUUGUUCGGAUUUACUGGGCGUAAAGGGCGCGUAGGCGGCAAUUCAAGUCAUCUGUGAAAUCUCCGGGCUUAACCCGGAACGGUCAGGUGAUACUGUUUUGCUAGAGUGCGGAAGGGGCAAUCGGAAUUCUUGGUGUAGCGGUGAAAUGCGUAGAUAUCAAGAGGAACACCUGAGGUGAAGACGGGUUGCUGGGCCGACACUGACGCUGACAGCGCGAAAGCCAGGGGAGCAAACGGGAUUAGA
rnacentral:rRNA from 1 species